rnacentral:rRNA from 1 species
AUUGAACGCUGGCGGCAUGCCUUACACAUGCAAGUCGAACGGUAACAGGUCUUCGGAUGCUGACUAGUGGCGAACGGGUGAGUAAUACAUCGGAACGUGGCUAGUAGUGGUGGAUAACUACUCGAAAGAGUGGCUAAUACCGCACGGGAUCUACGGAUUAAAGCAGGGGAUCGCGAGACCUUGGGCUACUAGAGCGGCCGAUGGCAGAUUAGGUAGUUGGUGGGAUAAAAGCUUACCAAGCCGACGAUAUCUAGCUGGUCUGAGAGGACGAUCAGCCACACUGGGACUGAGACACGGCCCAGACUCCUACGGGAGGCAGCAGUGGGGAAUUUUGGACAAUGGGCGAAAGCCUGAUCCAGCAAUGCCGCGCGCAGGACGAAGGCCUUCGGGUUGUAAACUGCUUUUGUACGGAACGAAAAGCCCUGGGUUAAUACCCUGGGGUCAUGACGGUGCCGCAAGAAUAAGCACCGGCUAACUACGUGCCAGCCGCCGCCGUAA